rnacentral:rRNA from 1 species
AGUGAACGCUGGCGGUAGGCCUAACACAUGCAAGUCGAACGGCCGCACAGUAAGAGCUUGCUCUUACGGGUGGCGAGUGGCGGACGGGUGAGGCAUACAUCGGAAUCUACUUUUUCGUGGGGGAUAACGUAGGGAAACUUACGCUAAUACCGCAUACGACCUACGGGUGAAAGCAAGGGAUCUUCGGACCUUGCGCGAUUCAAUGAGCCGAUGUCGGAUUAGCUAGUUGGCGGGGUAAAGGCCCACCAAGGCGACGAUCCGUAGCUGGUCUGAGAGGAUGAUCAGCCACACUGGAACUGAGACACGGUCCAGACUCCUACGGGAGGCAGCAGUGGGGAAUAUUGGACAAUGGGCGCAAGCCUGAUCCAGCCAUACCGCGUGGGUGAAGAAGGCCUUCGGGUUGUAAAGCCCUUUUGUUGGGAAAGAAAAGCAGCAGGUUAAUACCCCGCUGUUCUGACGGUACCCAAAGAAUAAGCACCGGCUAACUUCGUG